rnacentral:pre_miRNA from 1 species
AAUAGAGGGUGCACAGUCACGGUUGCUCAGGUGAGGCAGGGAACCGAGCUCACCUGAGCUCCCGUGCCUGUGCACCCUCUAUU